ACCGCGGUAGCCCAGUUGGUUAGGGCGUCGGCAGUGCAAUACUGAUGCCGAAGGUCGCAGGUUCAAAUCCUGCCUGCGGUG